rnacentral:tRNA from 2 species
GGAAAGAUGCUCGAGUGGCUGAAGAGGCAGACCUGGAAAGUCUGUAACGGCCGAAAGCCGUUCGCGGGUUCGAAUCCCGCUCUUUCCG